AGCGAACGUUUGCGGCGGGCUUAACACAUGCAAGUCGAACGGGCUGUUCCUUCGGGGGCAGUCAGUGGCGCACGGGUGCGUAACACGUAGGUAAUCAACCCUCUGGUUGGGGAUAACACUUCGAAAGGAGUGCUAAUACCCGGUAUGGCGCAGCGGUCUUCGGAUCGCGGCGAGAAAGACCCGCAAGGGUUGCCAGAGGACGAGCCUGCGGCCCAUCAGCUAGUUGGCGAGGUAACGGCUCACCAAGGCGAAGACGGGUAGCUGGUCUGAGAGGAUGAUCAGCCACACUGGAACUGAGACACGGUCCAGACUCCUACGGGAGGCAGCAGUGGGGAAUAUUGGACAAUGGGGGGCAACCCCUGAUCCAGCCAUGCCGCGUGUGUGAAGAAGGCC
rnacentral:rRNA from 1 species